CCCUUAGAUGUUCUGGGCCGCACGCGCGCUAGACUGAUGCAUUCAACGAGUUUCUUCCUGGUCCGAGAGGAAUGGGUAACCUUUUGAAAGUGCAUCGUGAUAGGGAUAGACUAUUGCAAUUAUUGGUCUUCAACGAGGAAUUCCUAGUAGACGUAGUUCAUCAGACUGCAUCGAUUACGUCCCUGCCCUUUGUACACACCGCCCGUCGCUCCUACCGAUUGAAUGCUCAGGUGAGCCAUUCGGACUUUCAUCAUGCUGGUUUCCAGUUUUGAUGAAGGAAAGUCUUGCGAACCUUAUCAUUUAGAGGAAGGAGAAGUCGUAACA
rnacentral:rRNA from 1 species